CCCCGAGUACCUGGCCCCCGAGGUCAUCGCCCGCCAGCGGUAUGGGCGCCCCGUGGACUGCUGGGCCGUGGGGGUCAUCCUCUUCAUCCUGCUGUCGGGGAACCCCCCGUUCUACGCCGAGGUGGAGCAGGACUCUGGUCGGGGGCAGGACCGGCAGCUCUUCCGUCAGAUCCUAGCCGGGGAAUACAGCUUCG